GACGAACGCUGGCGGCGUGCUUAACACAUGCAAGUCGAACGGUAAGGCCCUUCGGGGUACACGAGUGGCGAACGGGUGAGUAACACGUGGGUGAUCUGCCCUGCACUUCGGGAUAAGCCUGGGAAACUGGGUCUAAUACCGGAUAGGACCACUGCCUGCAUGGGUGGUGGUGGAAAGCUUUUGCGGUGUGGGAUGGGCCCGCGGCCUAUCAGCUUGUUGGUGGGGUGAUGGCCUACCAAGGCGACGACGGGUAGCCGGCCUGAGAGGGUGACCGGCCACAAUGGGACUGAGAUACGGCCCAGACUCGUACGGGAGGCAGCAGUGGGGAAUAUUGCACGAUGGGCGCAAGCCUGAUGCAGCGACGCCGCGUGAGGGAUGACGGCCUUCGGGUUGUAAACCUCUUUCAGCACCGACGAAGCGCAAGUGACGGUAGGUGCAGAAGAAGGACCGGCCAACUACGUGCCAGCCGCCGCAGUAA
rnacentral:rRNA from 1 species